GAUACUUCAGCAUCGUUCAAGGCAAGUUUGCACUUUAGAUUAUGCUCAUCCUAUAUUCUGCUAUGCAUGUGUGGGUUUUUUAUGCUAUGAUGUGUGCUUGGUUUGAUCCGUAUGUUCUCUGUUGUCAUAUUUGGGUAUUGAUUGUAUUAUGUGAUUGUGUGCUUCACAUUGUUAUGGUAGGCAUGGUUUGGUCUCGAGUGAUUCAUGUAAGUGGUGAGCGUUUAUAGUUGUAGGCUCGGGACUUUUUACCAGGUGAAUGCGUCACUGGCAGAGUGCUCUAUUGUCCCUAGAGAAUGCGCCACUGACAGAGCCCACUUGAGGCGAGGUAUAGUUUUGGAACUUAAAUCAGGUGAAUGCGUCCUUGGCAAAGCGCUCUAUCGUUCCUAGAGAAUGCCCACUGACAGAGCGCACUUGAGAGACUUUGGAAGUUCUUGUCAUGUUAAACUAGGAUUUCUUGGGUUCUCUUGGGCGGAUAAAUUAGAGGCGAUGGUAAACCUUGACAGUGGAGGUAGAUGAAGUUAGUUUAUGCCAAACCAACUUGAGUGUUCUAUUUGUCAUACAUUGCUUUGUGGAUGUAGGUUUGCUAUAUCACUUGUGUUAUUUGCCAAUACAUUCAAUGUAUUUACCCUUCUGGCUGCAAGUUAUCAUGUUGUAGGAUAUUCAGAUGAUCAGUGAGAUAAAGUAGAGUCAUGAGUCUUCACUCAGCAUUUCGCCAGUGGGCAUUGAUGAGACUCAUUGUUUAUUUAUACUACCUUCCACUAUUUUAUUUAAUAAAGCUAGCUAUGUGCUACUCGGUUUGUAGCACUUUAUAAAUUCUGGAUCAUACGUUGUAGUAAAUGAUGCACUUGGUACUUUGAUAUUCCUAUGUACUGUGUGUGCUAGUGAAUCGAUCCAGGGACUAGCAUAAUGAGCACAGAGACUCGAAUCUUAUCAGGUUUGGUCGUUACAAUGAUGUCCCUGGUUCAGGCCGAAUGCUCACUGCUCAUCUUUUAUCCUAAGGUGGUGAUCUUUCUGCAACUUGAUGUCUGGGUUUAUAGAUGAUUCGCCAAGGUGACAAAGCCACACACCCAAUUCAUUUGGAAGUAUCUUCAGAAGACCAGUUCUGCCAUAUUGCCCUUGCUGUUGGAAACAGAAUUUGAUGAGCUCUUCCUUUGGAUUAUCUUCCUUGUAUUGGCUAGUUUAUAG